rnacentral:rRNA from 1 species
AAUAGAUACCCGGGUAGUCCACGCCGUAAACGAUGAGUGCUAGGUGUUAGGGGGUUUCCACCCCUUAGUGCUGCAGCUAACGCAUUAAGCACUCCGCCUGGGGAGUACGGUCGCAAGACUGAAACUCAAAGGAAUUGACGGGGGCCCGCACAAGCGGUGGAGCAUGUGGCUUAAUUCGAAGCAACGCGAAGAACCUUACCAGGUCUUGACAUCCCGCUGACCGCCAUAGAGACAUGGCUUUCCCUUCGGGGACAGCGGUGACAGGUGGUGCAUGGUUGUCGUCAGCUCGUGUCGUGAGAUGUUGGGUUAAGUCCCGCAACGAGCGCAACCCUUGUCCUUAGUUGCCAUCAUUCAGGUUGGGCACUCUAAGGAGACUGCCGUACAAAUACGGAGGAAGGUGGGGAUGACGUCAAAUCAUCAUGCCCCUUAUGACCUGGGCUACACACGUGCUACAAUGGGCAGUACAAAGGGCUGCGAACCCGGCGAGGGGGAGCCAAUCCCAAAAAGCUGCUCUCAGUUCGGAUUGC